AUGAGAAGCUAAAACAACUCUACAGGCUCUCACAGAAGCCCCUGUCCAUGCCUGGUGGCAGAGAAUUCAACUCUGCAUUCAAUAAAACACCCGUGCAGUCCUCAGGCAUCUAAACAUCACCACUCCAGACUGUGAGACGGUACAGAGACGCCAUCCUCAGAGAACUACUGAGAAAAGGAGCCAUCACCUGCACACCACCAGCCAGAGACCCA
rnacentral:lncRNA from 1 species